rnacentral:rRNA from 1 species
AUGGAGGCAUCUAGGUUUGGGUGGGGUUGGAUUCCUACAACAAUGGAGGCACCGGCCAACAGCUACAUGUUCCUCGGAUUUUGCAACCAAGUGUCGAGUUGUGUUGUUGUACCAAAGAUACUGUAUAAAGAUGUGCCAUGUUGUUCCUCGCCAGGCGAGCUCACACCUUGUCCCCUCAGUAUAUCCCUUAUUUUCUUUUUGAAAUUUGAGCUAUACUUUGGUCCGAUCUGUUAUAUGAGGCAGUCUACACACUACCUGAAGAUGGUCUACCGGGUAACUGUGUGGUGCAUGGCUUACCAGAUUAUAUCUGCAGCCAAUUACCAGAGUUUUUCUGUGGUUUUUGCACAUGCUCUAACCAGUGAGGGUGCCUGA